ACCAAAACCGGCGCACGGGUGCGUAACGCGUAUACAAUCUGCCUUUCACAUAGGGAUAGCCCGAAGAAAUUUGGAUUAAUACCUAAUGGUAUAUAGGAGCGGCAUCGUUUUUAUAUUAAAGCUACGGUGGUGAAAGAUGAGUAUGCGUUCUAUUAGCUAGUUGGAGAGGUAACGGCUCCCCAAGGCGACGAUAGAUAGGGGUUCUGAGAGGGAUGUCCCCCACACUGGUACUGAGAUACGGACCAGACUCC
rnacentral:rRNA from 1 species